GGUGUCCCCCACACUGUACUGAGACACGGACCAGACUCCUACGGGAGGCAGCAGUGAGGAAUAUUGGUCAAUGGGCGCAAGCCUGAACCAGCCAUGCCGCGUGCAGGAAGAAUGCCCUAUGGGUUGUAAACUGCUUUUAUUUGGGAAUAAACCUUUCUACGUGUAGGAAGCUGAAGGUACCAAAUGAAUAAGCACCGGCUAACUCCGUGCCAGCAGCCGCGGUAAUACGGAGGGUGCAAGCGUUAUCCGGAAUCAUUGGGUUUAAAGGGUCCGCAGGCGGAUUUAUAAGUCAGUGGUGAAAGCCUACAGCUUAACUGUAGAACUGCCAUUGAUACUGUAAGUCUUGAAUUCGGUCGAAGUGGGCGGAAUGUGUAGUGUAGCGGUGAAAUGCAUAGAUAUUACACAGAACACCGAUAGCGAAGGCAGCUCACUAGGCCUGGAUUGACGCUCAGGGACGAAAGCGUGGGGAUCAAACAGGAUUAGAUACCCUGGUAGUCCACGCUGUAAACGAUGAUUACUCGUUUUCGGCGAUAUACAGUCGGAGACUAAGCGAAAGUGAUAAGUAAUCCACC
rnacentral:rRNA from 1 species